GACGAACGCUGGCGGCGUGCUUAACACAUGCAAGUCGAACGGAAAGGCCCUGCUUUUGUGGGGUGCUCGAGUGGCGAACGGGUGAGUAACACGUGAGUAACCUGCCCUUGACUUUGGGAUAACUUCAGGAAACUGGGGCUAAUACCGGAUAGGAGCUCCUGCUGCAUGGUGGGGGUUGGAAAGUUUCGGCGGUUGGGGAUGGACUCGCGGCUUAUCAGCUUGUUGGUGGGGUAGUGGCUUACCAAGGCUUUGACGGGUAGCCGGCCUGAGAGGGUGACCGGCCAAAUGGGGGAUGGAAACCGGCCCAGACCCCUACGGGGGGCAGGAGUGGGGAAUAUUGCACAAGGGGGGGAAGCCUGAUGCAGAAACCCGGGGGGGGGGAUGACGGCCUGCGGGUUGUAAACCUUUUUCGCCGGGGAAGAAGGGGGGGGGGCGGUAAUGGGUAAAGAAGCACCGGCUAACUACGU
rnacentral:rRNA from 1 species